CGCGAGGCGGCCACGUAUCGCCGCACCAACUCCGCAUCACUCACGAUCACGUUAACGGCAAACGACAGAACGACAUCUCACACGUACGCUGUUGGGAAAUGUCACUAGUAUCAGUUACCUUCCUUAUGUGAUGUAGAUUCAAACCAAUACCAGUGUUCAGUUAGAGUUACAAUAACCACAAGUGAAUACGAUACGGAAACAGUACGAAAGUGACACGAGGUGUUGGGAAACUAACGCGGUUUUGAAAAAGACGUGUGUGCGUGAGCGCCGCUUCGAAAGUGUACUUUUAUCCUGAAAGUGUACUUGUGCAAUUUUUGCCGGUUCGUUUGAUUUUUUGGACAGAUCGUGUGACUCCGCAAACAUCGGAUCGUUUGCGGUUCGCAACCCGACACGCGUGGAUGGCGCAACACUAGAACGAAC
rnacentral:lncRNA from 1 species